rnacentral:miRNA from 3 species
CAGGCAGCGAAAGCAAGUCUG